UGGCAAUGAUGACAAAAAGGCCGGUCUUACAGUUGCUUUGAAUUUCAUUCAUUUGGUAGUAGAAUGAUGAGACUUAUUAAAGGUGCUUCUGAGCCAG